rnacentral:lncRNA from 1 species
UUAUUUAUUUAUUUUACAAUCUGGAAUGUUUUAAGCCAUGUGAGAGAGCACCAUAUUAAACUACUUAAAAUGCUUUAUGAGUGAACUCACAAAGUGUCUGAGAGGUAGUAUAAGUUACUAGAGCUCGGGCAGGGCAGAGCUAGGGUUUAGUUGGUUUCUUCUCCUACCUCCUUUCUUCUCCAGGCGUCUAUCUCUCUCAUUCUUGAAUCUCAAUCAUUAUUUAAGCAUAAAUAUGAUUCCUCUGCAUAGACAAUACAUUUGUGUUGGGCAGGUGGACAUGGUUAGAAGUGAUGUAGUUAACGUUUACCUGGUUUAAAUGGGCCAAAAGGAAUCUAGUCCUCAGAGCUCCAGGGGUGCCCUGGCUUUUGCCUUAGCAUUCUCACAACUCUCUGUAAUCUAAGAAGGCAUUGAGAUGAAUUUUCAUAAGCAUACAACUUCCUACCUUUGCAUGUUAAUAUGCUCCAAAACAAAAUUUAUAAAUAUGUAAUAGCUUCGUUGUCAGGGGCUAAGUACUAUUCUAUAUAAACUUAGAUUUAUGCAAGAAUGUAGUCACAAGGACAAAUGAUUACUUAUGUUAUGUUUCUUUGCCAGCAAUAGAACUUGCCACAUAGUUUUAAAAAUUAUUUUUGUUUUAUGUGUAUGAGUCUUUUGCCUGCAUGUGAGUAUGUGUAUCAUAUGCCUUGUGAGGUU